AACAAAGUGGGACUCGAAGCUGGAUCCAUGAUGACAGAUGGAGUCUGGAGACUGAAUAGGCCCAGUGACGGCAGACAGGUGCGACAUCCAAUGAAAAGCUGACGUGCCAACUUCUCGACCAAUCACAUUUGGGUAUCGUCUCGAUGGGCGGGCCAUGGAGAGAGGACAUGACGGAGAGCCAGACUGAUGCACUGGAAGUCCUCCAGCCUACCUUCGUCCUCGGCUGGAUUACAGUUUGGAUCUUUCAUUAGGGAAUGUGUACCACGUAAACAUAACUGUAUGUGUAACAUAAAAAACUCAGGGUAUCUCAAUAAGACACUCAAUUAUGGUGUACUUCAGAGAUGCAUAUUUCUGAAUUAAAUUAAUCAAAUUACCUAAGAAUACUUGCCAAACAAUUAAUGUAUUGUGGGGCUCAUGCACAGCAGUAAUGAAUGCCAUGAAUACUUUGCAUCCUUUGCACUGCAAUGGACUGUUGCCUACUAUAACCCUGUAUGUACAACAUUCA